CCCAAGGGCUGGAAGGCCCGCCCCUUAGAGACACGUGUCAAGGCGAGAGAGGAACAAAAAAAUCGGAGAGGAAAGAGGCGAGGUUUCGUUUCUGGGUUUGGUUCUCUCUCUCUACAUGAUCAGUUUAUGACCAUAUGGAUCAAUUGAAUAAGCCUAAUGAGUUCAAAAGAAUCGUGUCACCACUGAAGUACCAGACGAGGUGUGUUACUGCCUUCCCUGAUCAGCAAGGAUUUUUGGUUGGUUCAAUUGAAGUGCGAGUUGGUUGGUGUUCAUCAUCUGGAUGAUUCUCAGCAGAACAAGAACUUCACAUUCAAAUGUCACAGAGAUGGGAAUGAGAUCUAUUCUAUCAAUGCUCUCAACUUCCACCCGUUGCUUGCUUCCCUUCCCUCAGUCAUCAACGGCUCCUUUGGCCUCCACGUGUUGUUGCCAUCUCGCCGCCUCUUUUUCUAGCUUUCCGGUAAGCAUAUGUGCUCAUGGAUCCAAAGAUGGUAGGUUUGGUGAAAUCGAGCGUUAAGCUCGGCUGAUUCGCCCUGCACCAGCACGUACCCCGCCUCUUCAAACUGAGACAGCUCAUCCUCAACGCAGUGGUAUUGGCUCUACCAUAGCUGAUGGUAUGACUUGGGGUGCUGGAAACGCAAUUGGACACAGGGUUGUGGAUGCUGUGAUGGGACCAAGAACCAUUAAGCAUGAAACCGUUGUUUCUGAGGCUGCUGCCCCUGCUUCUGCGCCCCAUGUUGCCAACAGCAUGGGCUCUGCUUCUGCUGCGCCCCCUGUUGCCAACAUGGCCUUUGCUUCUUGUAACAGUCAGUCCAAGGCUUUCCAGGAAG